rnacentral:rRNA from 1 species
AAGGAAUCUUCCACAAUGGGCGAAAGCCUGAUGGAGCAACGCCGCGUGCAGGAUGAAGGCCCUCGGGUCGUAAACUGCUUUUAUGAGUGAAGAAUAUGACGGUAACUCAUGAAUAAGCACCGGCUAACUACGUGCCAGCAGCCGCGGUCAUACGUAGGGUGCAAGCAUUAUCCGGAGUGACUGGGCGUAAAGAGUUGCGUAGGCGGUUAGUAAAGCGAAUAGUGAAACCUGGUGGCUCAACCAUACAGACUAUUAUUCGAACUCACUAACUCGAGAGUAUUAAAGGUAACUGGAAUUUCUUGUGUAGGAGUGAAAUCCAUAGAUAUAAGAAGGAACACCAAUGGCGUAGGCAGGUUACUGGACCAUUUCUGACGCUAAGGCACGAAAGCGUGGGG